rfam:Triticum aestivum genome assembly, contig: Triticum_aestivum_CS42_TGACv1_scaffold_499676_6BL
AUUCUACUCCCUCCGUUGCACAAUACAUUCCUUCUAUUUGUCAAAAUAUAUAUGUAUCUAGACAUGUUUUAGUAUAUAGGUACAUCCAUUUUUGGACAAAUGGAAGUCAAGUAUUUUGGAAUGGAGGGAGUACACA